UUUUUAUUUUUCUUCUUUUAAAUACCUAACCUUUAGUUUUUGUCUGAAAUUUGUCCGGCGACCGGUUUUUUCUUACGCCGGCGCCGGAAAUGCCACUGUGGCAGUCGGAAUCGAUGAGGUGGCAGCCGGAAUUCUCCACUUGGCUCAUUUUUUGACAUGUGGAAAAAAAUUUAAAAACAAAAAAACAAAAAAGGAAAAUCAACCCCCCUUCCCCCCCCCAAUCGUCAUCCCUCAGCCCAAACCCUAAGUCUACCUCUCCCCACCCGGCGCCGCCCCUGCCACCUCCGCCACCGCCGGCGCCGCCACCCGCAGCCACCACCACCAACGUUCUACCGCCUGGAGCAGCGGAAGAAGCUCCAGAUCUCGUUCAAGCUCCA
rnacentral:lncRNA from 1 species